UGGGGAAUUUUGGACAAUGGGCGAAAGCCUGAUCCAGCCAUGCCGCGUGAGUGAAGAAGGCCUUCGGGUUGUAAAGCUCUUUUAGUCGGAAAGAAAGAGUCGCAAUGAAUAAUUGUGAUUUAUGACGGUACCGACAGAAAAAGCACCGGCUAACUACGUGCCAGCAGCCGCGGUAAUACGUAGGGUGCGAGCGUUAAUCGGAAUUACUGGGCGUAAAGGGUGCGCAGGCGGUCUUGCAAGUCAGAUGUGAAAGCCCCGGGCUUAACCUGGGAAUUGCGUUUGAAACUACAAGGCUAGAGUGCAGCAGAGGGGAGUGGAAUUCCAUGUGUAGCAGUGAAAUGCGUAGAGAUGUGGAAGAACACCGAUGGCGAAGGCAGCUCCCUGGGUUGACACUGACGCUCAUGCACGAAAGCGUGGGGAGCAAACA
rnacentral:rRNA from 1 species